GUGUCCUAUGGGAGGCAGCAGUGGGGAAUAUUGGCCAAUGGGGGGAAGCCUGACCCAACGACGCCGCGGGAAGGAAGAAUGUUUUUGGGUUGUAAAAUUGUUUUCGGGGGGAAGAAGAUGACGGUACCUCCAGAACAAGCCUCGGCUAACUACGUGCCAGCAGCCGCGGUAAUACGUAGGUGGCGAGCGUUAUCCGGAUUUACUGGGUGUAAAGGGCGCGCAGGCGGCCUUGUAAGUCAGAUGUGAAAGAUCAAGGCUUAACCCCGGCAGGUCAUUUGAAACUGUGGGGCUUGAGUGUCGGAGGGGAAAGUGGAAUUCCUAGUGUAGCGGUGAAAUGCACAGAGAUUAGGAGGAACACCGGUGGCGAAGGCGACUUUCUGGCCACAACUGACGCUGAGCGCG
rnacentral:rRNA from 1 species